rnacentral:lncRNA from 1 species
CUCUUUGACGGUUAUCAUUAUCCAGGAUUCGGUAUUGAUAUUCCCUCCCUCUUUCGGAUAAUUGCUCUGAUUAAGAAGUUUUAUCCCUAGUGGGUCCUCUUUCAUUUACCGUUUGCCGGUGAUGUUUGUUAUUCCCCUUUUUUGAGCAUAUCUCCCAGUAACCGGUGAUAUGUCUCCUGGAUCGUUGCCUUUGUCAAUGUAUCCCCGGCGAGUCAUCUUUCGUCUACCCUUUUGUUGUUGGUAACAAU